rnacentral:lncRNA from 1 species
UCCGAAAUUUUAUUCGAAUGUGAAUUUUAAUGGACCAAAUUUAUCGAUGGAUAUAAUUUCGGAUAAGAAUAUAAAAAACAAAAAUCCGACCGAUAUGGAUUUGAAUUCGGAUAUAAAUUAUGUCUAUAUCCGACCCAAACACGAACCCGAAUUAAUUUUACAUUAUAUAUAUAUAGUUGGGCUGGAGUACUAUUGAUAGUAUUUGACUCAUUUUGCUAUCAAGUUUUUAACCCUUAGAUGAGAAAUUGUAGGGUUAGGAUGAUAUUAGUCACUUAGGGUUGAACAGUCCCCCUAGGAUGAGUGGUCCACAUUGGGUAAUAAUAUUUAAUUCAAUGAUUAGAAAUGAUCAAAAUAAUUGAUCCAAAAGCUAAAAACUUGAUACCAAAAGAAGGCAAAUAUUAUUAAUAAUAUUAUAGUCCAACUCAUAUAUAUUAGAAUUUGUAUUUUGAAAAUUUAGAUUUAAUAUAAAUGUUUUGAAAUACGGUAAAAAAAAUAAUUUGGGUUUGAGUUUUUGGGUCCGGGUCCAGGUCCGGGUCCAGGUUCGGGUUCAGGUUUGAAUUUUGAAUUUUUGAUCGGGUUAAUUCGGAUUUGAACAUGAACUUUUAAAAUCCGUUAGAUUCGGAUUCAAAUUUGGAUUUUUAAUUCGGUAGUUAGAAUCAGCUUCAAGCUUUUGAAAACUCGCCCCGAAUCCAACCCGUUAACAUCCCUAAGAAAAACUACCCAAAAGGAAUCAGAACAAUUUCAUAUAUAGCCUUCUUAAUUAGCUAUCCAAUUUAGAGCAAUGCUAUUGGUACAUUCCAAAAUAGAGUGUAUAUUUUAUACCCACUCCGGUUAAUGUUACUAGAUCUACUUGUCACAUCAACGUUUUUUUAGUUUUACUAAAAAUUACUUGACAUUUUUACUGAUCGAUUCAUUAUGNAAUAUAUAUAUAUAUAUAUAUAUAUAUAUAUAUAUAUAUAUAUAUAUAUAUAUAUAUAUAUAUAUAUAUAUAUUAUUUGUGGUCGAAAAGUAUAAGAACAGAAAGAAAAUAAUAAUAAAGAAAAUAGUACCCUAUAGGUAACACUCGUAUACUCGUCCGCGCAUCCGCGGGCGGGUAUUGAUAAAGAUGAUGGCUGCCCAAAAAUAUGUGGGUAAAUUCUAUCUAUGCCCGUAUAAUUCGUGAGUACAAUGACCUGCCCGUGAAUUGCCUAAUCCAUUCGUUUACUGGGUCUAAUAAUAGUAUCCUAGCACAAAAUUCAUGAUUAUUGCUGUUGUUGCUUGUUACCACUGCAUAUUAGGCAAAAUAUCAAAUAGGAUCUAAGUUAGUAGAGAAGACAUGGUCAAGUGGCAAUGCAAGGAGUUGGUCCCCAAACUAAAUUAAAUGAAAUUAAAAUGACAGUGCCCUAGAGAGCAAGGAACUCAUACAAUGCUUGGGCCCUCUACAAUAAAAAGAGCAAUAACAACUAAACAAGGAGUGGGGUCAAGCAUGGGACAUUCACUUGUAUAGAAGCUAAAACCAUGGGAACUUAUCCAAAGGGAGCUAGGGAAUGUCAAAACCAUUGGAACUUAUCCAAUUAGGGAAACUAGGAAUGUCAUAAAUUACAUAUAUCCGAAAUUUUAUUGGAAUGUGAAUUUUAAUGGACCAAAUUUAUCGAUGGAUAUAAUUUUGGAUAAGAAUAAAAAAAACAAAAAUCCGACCGAUAUGGAUUUGAAUUCAGAUAUAAAUUAUGUCUAUAUCCGACCCAAACACGAACCCGAAUUAAUUUUACAUUAUAUAUAUAUAGUUGGGCUGGAGUACUAUUGAUAGUAUUUGACUCAUUUUGCUAUCAAGUUUUUAACCUUUAGAUGAGAAAUUGUAGGGUUAGGAUGAUAUUAGUCACUUAGGGUUGAACAGUCCCCCUAGGAUUGAGUGGUCCACAUUGGGUUAUAAUAUUUAAUCCAAUGAUUAGAAAUGAUCAAAAUAAUUGAUCCAAAAGCUAAAAACUUGAUACCAAAAGAAGGCAAAUAUUAUUAAUAAUAUUAUAGUCCAACUCAUAUAUAUUAGAAUUUGUAUUUUGAAAAUUUAGAUUUAAUAUAAAUGUUUUGAAAUACGGUAAAAAAAAUAAUUUGGGUUUGAGUUUUUGGGUCCGGGUCCAGGUUCGGGGUCAGGUUUGAAUUUUGAAUUUUUGAUCGGGUUAAUUCGGAUUUGAACAUGAACUUUUAAAAUCCGUUAGAUUCGGAUUCAAAUUUGGAUUUUUAAUUCAGUAGUUAGAAUCAGCUUCAAGCUUUUGAAAACUCGCCCCGAAUCCAACCCGUCAACAUCCCUAAGAAAAACUACCCAAAAGGAAUCAGAACAAUUUCAUAUAUAGCCUUCUUAAUUAGCUAUCCAAUUUAGAGCAAUGCUAUUGUUACAU